GAGGAGGCAGGGCACAUGGAGAUGACAUACUAGUAAAAGGCGCGUUUGAAAGUUGUCAAAACGCAUUAGGGCAGUGUUGAAGGAUUCUGAGCAGGGGAGGUUACCAUGGCCUGAUUUGGGGGAUAGGAGGUGGAAGAUGGAUUGGAGAGACCAGGACACUGUUAGGAGCCUAUUGUAAUAGUAUAUAUAAGAGCCAACCUGGUUCCUGACCAGGCUGGGGCCGGGAGUGUAGAGGAGCAAAGAGGUGGAGAUGACACUUUCUGGAGACAGCAUAUGAAGCUGGCACUUGAGAAUGGAUGGGGUGCAGAUCUUCCCUCCUCUGCUAAGUGACUUGAAGCUCCUGUCCUGACUACGGGAGACCUUUAAGGACCUCUCUAGCUGUGGUGGUCCACGUUUCUGAAACAGGAAAACUUCAAGGGAAAGGUAAACGGACAGCAAAUGUG
rnacentral:lncRNA from 1 species